rnacentral:rRNA from 1 species
UACGGGGGGAGCAAGCGUUGUUCGGAUUUACUGGGCGUAAAGGGCGCGUAGGCGGUCAGCACAAGUCAGUUGUGAAAUCUCCGGGCUUAACUCGGAAAGGUCAACUGAUACUGUGCGACUAGAGUGCAGAAGGGGCAACUGGAAUUCUCGGUGUAGCGGUGAAAUGCGUAGAUAUCGUCUGGAACGCCAAUGGUGAAGACAGGUUGCUGGGGGUGUGCUGACGCUGAGACACGAAAGCCAGGGGAGCAAACGGG